AAAACAAAAUACACAAUUUCUCUCCUCUCCCCCAAUUCAUCGUGUCUCUCCCAUUCUUCUCUCAUUCCCUGCCAUAGAGAUUUCAAUCUUUAAAAUCUUAAUUGGAUCUUUAACAUUAGCGAUUGAAGCCCGCUUUUGCCUCCUUCUCAGUAGACAUCAUCCGUUAAAGAUAAGAAAUAGUUAUCUGAGUACGUGUAUGAACAAACCUUCAAGGUAAUCUGAUUUUACCAUUUAUGAGAUUAGUUCACUGCAAAUGGGUCUAAUUUUGAACACAUACAACCCAUUCGUCUCUUGAAUUCUGAAGUCCAAGUUAAGGAUUUAAUAAUAGAGAUUGUUGAUUGAAAGUUUUAAUUUAUUUUUUUCAGAAAAGUUGUUAAAUCUAUAGCAUUUAGUUAAUAAUGCAGUUAAUAUUGAUCAUUUCUUUUUAAUGGGAAUGGUUAACUGAAGUAGUCUGAUUUUUAGUUUUAAUUGAAAUUGCUUGCAUGUUGUCAAACUAUUUGAUUAAUUGCCUAAGUGAUUAUCUUCAAACUGAUUUUGAUAAUAUGAACUGGGGAGUAAAGUUUUUUUGUUUAAAUAUUGUCUUUGUCAGUGGCAUGGAAUUAUUGCCUUGUUUUCAAAAUGAUUUGUGUCUUAUGAUUAGUCUUUUGAACAUUUUGAAGGACAACAUUCAAUUUUAGAAUGGAUGAUAGCUACUCUAUUUAAGGAAUACAAAUUGUUCCCAAAGUAUUCUGUAAGGCACUUCAAAUCACCCCAUUUCAUUUUGGUAAGCUCUUAUUAUAUAUUUUGUAAA
rnacentral:lncRNA from 1 species